rnacentral:rRNA from 1 species
CUUUCGUUGAUGUUUACGCCGUUCUCGCAUUAGUCUUGAAGUGGCUCUCGAAACAAGCCAACACUCGCUUACGGCCACACCACCCUGAGCACGCCCGCUCUCGUCUGAUCUCGGAAGCCAAGCAGGGUCGGGCCUGGUUAGUACUUGGAUGGGAGACCGCCUGGGAAUACCAGGUGCUGUAAGCAUUUAUUUUUGAUUUAAUUUUUUAAAAAUGCACCUUGUCUGUAAG